rnacentral:lncRNA from 1 species
GAAUAAGGAAAUAGCCGAACAUUAAUAAAAGAAAUAACACCAUAGACUAUGUUUAGAAAUUAGCUUUUGAAACAAAUUUGCAACUCAAGAAUAAAUGCGCAUAAAUUCACGACAACAAAGUUGAAUGUAUUCAAUAUGUAGAAUAAAAACAUUCUCAGUUCAAGCUCCAGCAAAGAAAAGAAAUGGUUAUCUACAUUAAUUCCUAGAUCGUGACACCUCACCCAUUUCUCCAAUUGAAACUAAAAGUAAAACCAUUUUGUGGAUGGCGGUGUGCAGCUUCCAAUCAAGUAACGUCUUCUUCCAUUAUAAGGCAAAAUGUAAAUUGUAGCUCCUUUCUCCCUCUACCAAUGUAACAGUGUUUUUCCAAAGUGUGUGUGGCGGCUCCCCCUCUAGCAAUCCCGAGGUGCCCUACUUAAAUGAAUGCUACUGGAAUUCAAAUUUUACACAUGGGCACCACUGCACCUCCCAUGAUUCUUGGACAUACCCCUUUCCUUGCCCAUGGGCCGUGAUGUGCUGCUGUUAUGCACACCUUCAUGUCUGUUG